GCAAAUAAAUAUGCACCAGACAUUGAAUUAAAAUGCACUUUUUUUGUGUGUGUGUAGGUUUUGCAUCCCUGUCUUGACAAUCACACCGUGUUGCUAGUCCAGGUAUACAGUUUGGAUGCUAUUUCCAUUCCAGACCCAAAUUGGCAAAGUCCGGGUGAAGUCAUGCCACGUUCUGGUCAGGUCCUCGAGCUUAAUGCACUAUUUGCUUUUAUUCUUGUGUGGAAAGUCCGGUGCAAAGUUGCAAUCGACCUGUGGCUGAAAAAUUUGUCCAUGAACAUGCUCUAAAAUUUUGUGUUGGUUCACUCUUUUGAGACAAGACGUAUACAUCGUUCCCAUAAGGAAUGUUACAGAAGAAGCACCAACAAACGCUUGGGAGGUUGCAUUCACGAAGCAGGUUCUUGUGUGUCGUUGCUCUCAGCCUUUGGAACUGUUCCUUGGAUUUAGUACCUGAUCUUUGCUUUGUUUGUGUCUAAACAUCUUGUGACUUUUGUGUGUGUGUGUGUGUGUGUGUAGGUUUUGCAUCCCUGUCUUGACAACCACACCGUGUUGCUAGUCCAGGUAUACAGUUUGGAUGCUAUUUCCAUUCCAGACCCAAGUUGGCAGAGUCCGGGUGAAGUCAUGCCACGUUCUGGUCAGGUCUUUCAGCUUAAUGCACUAUCGCAACUGCGAUGGAUGGUUCUUCCACUCUUUGACAGAGACCCAGGAAGCUGCAAAUCGCAGGUUUUUUCAGGAUGGAGCCAUGGCAGUUUAAAGUGGUAUCAGACUGCGUUAUUUCCAUAGUGUAGAUGCACCUAUAAUGAUGGCUGGUGGCUAUUCUACACGAGUUCAAGUAUUCUGUGUAUACAUGGCAUCAGUUAGAGUGAGUCUCAAAGGUGCUACAAGAUCUCUCUCCGGACUGACUCUACAGACAAACAUGGCUAUAUCUUUGAACUCUGCCACUAUGGAAAGCCCCACAUUUAGUCGAAUGGAGUGGAAAUCCAUCAACCUCUUCAAGAAAGUUGAACUUGACAUCCUCACAUACCAAUGGCAUAUAUAUGUCUGUAUCCUCUUUGUCAACAAAUGCAAGCAACAGGAUGUCACUCCUAACCUGCAACUUCAUGUCCAUGCAGAAAGGAUUUGUAAUUUGAAUUGACAUCCUCACAUACCUAUGGCAAAUAUAUGUCUGUGCCUGGUUUCUGUUCCACCAAAUGCAUCUAAGGAAGUAGACUUAAGUCUAAGAACGCGC